rnacentral:snRNA from 1 species
AUAUAUUUUGAUAAAAAAAUAAAAUAAAAAAAAAUCUGUUCUUAUCAGUUUAAUAUCUGAUACGUCCCCCAUCGGGGGACUACAUAUUAAAUGGAUUUUUCGAACAGGGAGUCGGAAAUGGGGCUUGCUCCGUCCGCUCCGCGCAUCGACCCGCUAUUGCAGUACCUCCGGGAACGGUGCAACACUU